rnacentral:rRNA from 1 species
UUAAAAAGCUCGUAGUUGGAUUUCUGUUGAGGGCGACCGGUCCGCACUAUGAGCGUGUAUCUGGUUCGGCCUUGGCAUCCUCCUGGGGAACGGUGCUGCGCUUGAUUGCGUGGUCCGGUAUUCAGGGCUUUUACUUUGAGGAAAUUAGAGUGUUUACGGCAGGCAGUCGCCUUGAAUAUCAUAGCAUGGAAUAAUAACAUAGGACUUUGGUUCUAUUUUGUUGGUUUCUAGAACUAAGGUAAUGAUUAAUAGGGAUAAU